UACAGAGGGUGCGAGCGUUAAUCGGAAUUACUGGGCGUAAAGCGCGCGUAGGCGGCUUUGCAAGUCGGGUGUGAAAUCCCCAGGCUUAACCUGGGAACUGCAUUCGAGACUGCAUUGCUAGAGUACGGGAGAGGGAAGUGGAAUUUCCGGUGUAGCGGUGAAAUGCGUAGAUAUCGGAAGGAACAUCAGUGGCGAAAGCGACUUCCUGGACCAAUACUGACGCUCAUGUGCGAAAGCGUGGGGAGCAAACAGG
rnacentral:rRNA from 1 species